AUUUUUGGCAAGUGUUUUGAAUUUGCAGAUGGAAGAUGGUCUUGGCAAGCAGAUAGAGACAGUAGUCUUUUUGGCUGCCGUUCAAAUGAGUAUACCGCUGAACUCAUGGAAACACCAACCUCAGUAUUGCGAGACCACCCAUUGGAUGAUCGAAGCCAAACUCUUCUUCAGCUCGAGUUAACAAGUCUUAAAAUAAAGGCUGGCUCAACUGCAGGAAAUCUUCACAACGCGUU
rnacentral:misc_RNA from 1 species